rnacentral:rRNA from 1 species
CACGUAGGGCGCAAGCGUUGUCCGGAAUUAUUGGGCGUAAAGAGCUCGUAGGCGGUCUGUUACGUCUGCUGUGAAAACCCAGGGCUUAAUCCUGGGCUUGCAGUGGAUACGGGCAGACUAGAGGCAGGUAGGGGAGAAUGGAAUUCCCGGUGUAGCGGUGAAAUACGCAGAUAUCGGGAGGAACACCGGUGGCGAAGGCGGUUCUCUGGGCCUGACCUGACGCUGAGGAGCGAAAGCGUGGGGAGCGAACAGG